CAGAUAAUGUCAGAAUGUAAUAACAGUGGUAUUCUCUGAUCUGUCCAUAAUCUGUGAGGCUUUGGCAGUGAACGAACAAAACAAUGCAGUGUGAGAACAAUUACUGAAGACUUUCUCCGUGAAACAGACUUUAAGUAACUUUAACAACUUGCAUGCACUAAAAGAGUAAAUAUCUUAGAAUGGAUCUGGUUCUCUUCCUAUUUCUUCAUGUAUUUCUGUGUAGAGUUUGUCUCCUCCCUCAUCUCUUCUUGAAGUGUGAAGCGCAGGAAGUGUCUGGUUUAGUUAAACCAGUCUGUUAAUGUGUCAGUAUGGGCUCCAGUGCACUGUCUGUCACACUCUUGCUGAUGUCCUUCAUCCACUCUGGACUCACUCAAGAUUCAUACAGAUCUACACUGACUGUGACUCCAGACACAGUAUUCACUGGAGAGAGAGUCGAUCUGACGUGUGAGAUUGAGUCUUACAG